rnacentral:rRNA from 1 species
CCUACGGGUGGCAGCAGUGGGGAAUAUUGCACAAUGGGGGAAACCCUGAUGCAGCGACGCCGCGUGAAGGAAGAAGUAUUUCGGUAUGUAAACUUCUAUCAGCAGGGAAGAAAGUGACGGUACCUGACUAAGAAGCCCCGUCUAACUACGUUCCAGCAGCCGCGGUAAUACGUAGGGGGCCAGCGUUAUCCGGAUUUACUGGGUGUAAAGGGAGCGUAGGCGGCGAUGCAAGUCAGAAGUGAAAGCCCGGGGCUCAACUCCGGGACUGCUUUUGAAACUGUAUGGCUUGAUUGCAGGAGAGGCAAGUGGAAUUCGUGGUGUAGCGGUGAAAUGCGUAGAUAUUAGGAGGAACCCCGGUGGCGAAGGCGGCUUGCUGGACUGUAAAUGACGCUGAGGCUCGAAAGCGUGGGUAGCAAACAGGAUUAGAUACCCCAGUAGUC